rnacentral:tRNA from 1 species
CAUAGUGUAGCUUAAUAAAAGCAUCUGGCCUACACCCAGAAGACUCCACAACCAAUGGACGCUAUGA